AAAAAAAAUCUUGUUAUAAAUUUUAAAGUAUAAAAAAGUUUUUAAUAAAACUACUUUUUAUUUAAUUCGUUAAGUAGAGUGAAUCAAAAAAUUGUGAUGUAGGCUAUAGAGAAAAGUACUGUAAAGGAAAGAUGAAAUAAUUUGAAAAAUAAAUUAAAAAAAAGUAGUGAUUGAAAUUCGUACCUUGUGUAUCAGGGAAAAUCAAAAUUUAUUUUGAAUAAAAUAAUCCCGAAAAAAAAAGAGCUAAUUCAAAAAUAAAGUUUUCGUUUUAAUGAAAUUUAAAAUUUUGUCUUAGUAAUGAAAUGUUAUCCGAUUUUUUAUAUCUGGUUGUUGGUGAAUUAAAUUAAAUUUGUUAAGUUGGUGAAAAAAUAAUUACGGACUUAAAAAGAAAGGGAGGGAAAAGCUUCUCUUUCUAUUAUAAGUGGCUUAUGAUUAAAUAAAAAUGUAAAGAGUUCUAAACUAGGCUUAAGAGCAGCCAUGUUGAUAAAGCGUUCUAGCUAAUGCAUGAUAGUAACUAGUAUUUAUAUUAAAUCUAAGUAGGUAACUAGCAUCCUUGUUAAAUAUAAAAGCAAAGGUUAAAUUGAUUUUAUUAGUAGAAAAUUUUAUAAUAAAGAAUAUUGAAAUAUAAAUAGAACUGUAGUUAAUUGAUAAUAUUAUCAAGGAAUUCGGCAAAUAUUACUUUUGCCUGUUUAUCAAAAACAUGUCUGUAUGGUUGUUAUAUAGAGUCUAACCUGCCCACUGAUAUAAAUUGAAGGGCCGCGGUAUAUUGACCGUGCGAAGGUAGCAUAAUCAUUAGUCUUUUAAUUGAAGGCUUGUAUGAAUGGUUGGACAAAAAGUAAGCUGUCUCGGUUAUAUAAUUUGAAUUUAACUUUUAAGUGAAAAGGCUUAAAUGAUCUAAGGGGACGAUAAGACCCUAUAAAGCUUUACAAUAAAUUAAAUAUAUUAAAAUCUGUUAGUGUAACUUAUUAUAUUUAGAGUUUGUUUCGUUGGGGCGACGAGAAUAUAAUGAAUAACUGUUCUUUUUAAAAAUAGACAAUAAUAAUUGGUUAAAGAUUGAUCCUUUAUUAAAGAUUAAAAGAUUAAGUUACUUUAGGGAUAACAGCGUAAUCUUCUUCAAGAGUUCAGAUCGACAAGAAGGGUUGCGACCUCGAUGUUGAAUUAAGGGAUCCUUGUGGUGCAGCAGCUAUAAAGGAAGGUCUGUUCGACCUUUAAAUCCUUACAUGAUUUGAGUUCAGACCGGCGUAAGCCAGGUCGGUUUCUAUCUCUUAGUUUUAUUAAAUCAUUCUAGUACGAAAGGAUUGAGUGAUUAAAAUAGUUUUAAGAAAAAGAUUAAUAGUAAAACU
rnacentral:rRNA from 1 species